GCUUACGGCCAUACCGACGUGCGUAUGCCCGAUCUCGUCUGAUCUCGGAAGCUAAUCAAGUUCGGGCCUGGUUAGUACUUGGUUGGGAGACUGCCUGGGAAUACCAGGUGCUGUAAGCU
ensembl:rRNA 5S_rRNA 5S ribosomal RNA